UGGUAGACCUGGAAGGCAACCCACCAUUUGCAGCAAGGUGAUAUUGGGUACUGAGGUGUGUCAGGAGGAGGUCUGUCUCAAUAUUCAAAGCUUUUGUGAAGAAUUUGCACUGGACUAAGUAUUGCCGUGGACUGAAGGAAUGACCAGAUAGCCCUGUGACUAGUCGUAGU